CUGCAGGCGCAGCUGAUCAGCAUGCCGCGUGCGGAGAAGGCCUUCGGGUUGUAAACUGCUUUUGUACGGGACGAAACGGUCUGGGUUAAUACCCUGGGCUAAUGACGGUACCGUAAGAAUAAGCACCGGCUUACUACGUGCCAGCAGCCGCGGUAAUA
rnacentral:rRNA from 1 species